rnacentral:sRNA from 1 species
GAUCCUGUCAUUGGUCACCGUGAGUCACGUGGUUGAUCUGCAGGGAUCUCUUAUUGGUCACUAUGAGUCACACUCUGCUCUGGUGUCAUGGCACUCACAAGAUGUCUCCUUUCUUUCCUUGUCUCUUUUGCUACCCGCCUGAACUCUGAGGGAAGCCAAAAUUCCAACCUACAUUGACCCUCAGUUUCCUCCAGAUUUGGCCCACGGUGCUCCACAACAGUAUUUAACAGCCCAUAACAUGCAUCAAACGUUUGUGUAAAUGUCUUGAAGUUGUCAACAGCAGCUUCUUUGUGGUAGAGACUUGGCCUCUUAAUCCACAGAAGUACCUCCGGGUUCCUUACUCAACCAAAUCUCCUUGGUGUAAAGAACCUGCCAGCUGCUUCUCCUUCCUUGGGGAUCCUGAGUCCAUAGAUGGCAUGCUCCACCCCCUACCUUCAUCUCGCCUGUUCUGACCCUCAGACCACAGAUGAACCAAUAGCACUUUUGACAGUUGGAAUACGAGAGAAUUCUACUCUGGAGAAGCCAUAAACCUUGGCCAUAUUAGAAGUAACAGGAUCCCUCGAUUCGUCCUGAUUGAACUCAGAGUCUGCCCCGGAUGGUGCGUUCAGGCAUAACUACCGGAUUCUACUAUUUCAUCUCUUGGUACCCCCUAAGAGGAGGCAGAGAUGUUGGGGUCAUCCUUUCCUCCUGACAGUUGAGGAAAUCAAGGCAAAGGCAAGUGGUUUACUCCAGAGUCCUUCCUAAUACAGUGUGGGCUCCCUCAGGGCUCCUGUUCAGUACUGAUUUCCCUGGAGCCAGGGUCUUCGCACCACAGCUCCAGUCUUCCCAAGACCGUCUAGCACAAGAGGCAACUUUAGCUGUCACAGUAGAAGUUCUGGAGAUCGCAGGGAGUGACUGUCUAGGUGGCUGCUCUGCCCCAGACUUGGGGGUAGAGGUGGUCAUGAGAACGAGGAGGAACAACUCCUGGGAGCUCACAAGGUGCUGACCAUCUCUUAGUCACAGGAGCAGAACCAAGGCUAUCUGAUUUAUACACCAACACCAACAGGCGAGCCUCCCUCCAGCCCUGACGUGGACAGGCCAAAAGCUAGUCUUCAACAUGGUAAAAGAUUUAGGGCACUUGCAAGGAAGUCAGGAGCCCUAGAAAUCACCACAACAUGAGAACUAAGCUGCACUCGGAGUCCCUAGCACAACAGCCUGCUCUGCAGCACCCUGAACACAGCCAGGAAGGCGGGUUUGGAAUGAAGACUCCUUUAUUCAAGCAGUCAGUGAUGAUGCUGCCCGUGGGAGAGCACCACUUCCUGAAGACGCCCUGACGCUUGUCUGGGGCUGGAAAGAUGGCUUCCUAAAAGCUGUUGA